GACGGAGGGUGCUAGCGUUGGUCGGCCUUACUGGGCGUAAAGGGCGCGUAGGCGGCCCCUUAAGUCGGGUGUGAAAGCCCGGGGCUCAACCCCGGAACGGCACCCGAGACUGCGGGGCUGGAGACCGGAAGAGGUGAGUGGAAUACCCAGUGUAGAGGUGAAAUUCGUAGAUAUUGGGUGGAACACCGGUGGCGAAAGCGCCUCACUGGUCCGGUUCUGACGCUGAGGCGCGAAAGCGUGGGGAGCAAACAGG
rnacentral:rRNA from 1 species